GAAGGUAGAAUUUGAACAACACCAAUCCCUUCAGAUCGGGUUUGAGAACCAUUGGCAGAAGUUAUAGUAGGUAAGAAACCGGAUGUAGAGAGGGAAGAGAAAAGAUUUUUAUUUGUAACCGAGAGAGAAGGUAGAAUUUGAACAACACCAAUCCCUUCAGAUCGGGUUUGAGAACCAUUGGCAGAAGUUAUAGUAGGUAAGAAACCGGAUGUAGAGAGGGAAGAGAAAA
rnacentral:lncRNA from 1 species